rnacentral:rRNA from 1 species
UGUGUAGGCGGUUGUAUAAGAUAGCGGUGAAAUACCUGGGCUCAACCUAGGAACUGCCGUUGUUACUAUACAGCUAGAGUGAUAGAGAGGAUAUUGGAAUACCCAGUGUAGAGGUGAAAUUCGUAGAUAUUGGGUAGAACACCGGUGGCGAAGGCGAGUAUCUGGCUAUUAACUGACGCUGAGGCACGAAAGCAUGGGGAUCAAACA